AAUCUGCAUCUUGGUCGUCAUGUUUCAUGCAGCUGGCACGCAAUGGUGGUGGGAUCUAGCAGAGGAUUGACCUCACCGCAACUCGAGGAUGUCCGGCCGAUGAGGAAGAGGAAAGAACAGAAAGGGAGCAUACCACCACUUUUGUUGGAUCUCAGACAUCUCUACUACCAGCACCUUUGUGCAUCCUGAUACCUUCCAUGCCAAAUUGUGAGACUAACGAGUACAAGGGAGAACGAAUAAAGGGCGCGGCGCUAAUCCCUGAAAGGAAAAGGGUGGGGAGAUGGUCUGAGGAUGAGGACAAGCGCCUCCUGGUAUCUGGCAAGAUUUUUAGGUCUGGCAGCUGGAAUAAGAUUGCUCAGUUUCUUCCUGGCCGCAAUCAAAGUCAAUGCAGCGAGAGGUGGUGUAAUGUUCUUGAUCCGGAUAUAGAUCAUGGGGAAUGGCGCCCUGAAGAGGAUUCCAAGUUAUU